GACGAACGCUGGCGGCGUGCUUAACACAUGCAAGUCACGGGGGCUCGCAAGAGCAACCGGCGAACGGGUGCGUAACACGUGAGCAACCUGCCGAUCUGAGGGGGAUAGCCGGCCCAACGGCCGGGUAAUACCGCAUACGUUCUCGAGGGGGAGUCCUCUUGAGAAGAAACCUCCGGGGCAGAUCGAGGGGGCUCGCGGCCUAUCAGCUAGUUGGUGAGGUAACGGCUCACCAAGGCANCGACGGGUAGCUGGUCUGAGAGGAUGGCCAGCCACAUUGGGACUGAGAGACGGCCCAGACUCCUACGGGAGGCAGCAGUGGGGAAUCUUGCGCAAUGGCCGGAAAGGACUGACGCAGCGACGCCGCGUGUGGGAUGAAGCAUUUCGGUGUGUAAACCAACUGUUGCCCGGGACGAACAUCCUCUUUCGUAGA
rnacentral:rRNA from 1 species